rnacentral:rRNA from 1 species
AGUGAACGCUGGCGGUAGGCCUAACACAUGCAAGUCGAACGGCAGCACAGUAAGAGCUUGCUCUUACGGGUGGCGAGUGGCGGACGGGUGAGGAAUACAUCGGAAUCUACUUUUUCGUGGGGGAUAACGUAGGGAAACUUACGCUAAUACCGCAUACGACCUACGGGUGAAAGCAGGGGAUCUUCGGACCUUGCGCGAUUGAAUGAGCCGAUGUCGGAUUAGCUAGUUGGCGGGGUAAAGGCCCACCAAGGCGACGAUCCGUAGCUGGUCUGAGAGGAUGAUCAGCCACACUGGAACUGAGGCACGGUCCAGACUCCUACGGGAGGCAGCAGUGGGGAAUAUUGGACAAUGGGCGCAAGCCUGAUCCAGCCAUACCGCGUGGGUGAAGAGGGCCUUCGGGUUGUAAAGCCCUUUUGUUGGGAAAGAAAAGCAGCAGGUUAAUACCCCGCUCUUCUGACGGUACCCAAAGAAUAAGCACCGGCUAACUUCGUG